GAUGAAGAACGCAGCGAAAUGCGAUACUUGGUGUGAAUUGCAGAAUCCCGUGAACCAUCGAGUCUUUGAACGCAAGUUGCGCCCGAAGCCAUUAGGUCGAGGGCACGCCUGCCUGGGCGUCACACGUCGUUGCCCCCCCCAUCUACUCCUUCGGGAUUGCGGGGGGCGGAUGAUGGCCUCCCGUGCGCCUCGCCGCGCGGUUGGCAUAAAUGCCAAGUCCUCGGCGACGCACGCCACGACAAUCGGUGGUUGCGAAACCUCGGUUGCCCGUCGUGUGCGGUCGUCGCGCAUCGAGGGCUCGAAAAAAUUGCCGAGUUCCGGCUCGGCUUUCAACGCGACCCCAGGUCAGGCGGGGUUACCCGCUGAAUUUAAGCAUAUCAAUAAGCGGAGGA
rnacentral:misc_RNA from 1 species